rnacentral:rRNA from 1 species
CGCGUAGGCGGUUACAUGAGUUGGAGGUGAAAUCCCCGGGCUCAACCUGGGAACUGCUUUCAAAACUGUGUGACUUGAGUACAGCAGAGGAUAGUGGAAUUUCUAGUGUAGCGGUGAAAUGCGUAGAUAUUAGAAGGAACACCAGUGGCGAAGGCGACUGUCUGGGCUGAUACUGACGCUGAGGUGCGAAAGCGUGGGGAGCAAACA